CACAAAGGUCGGUGAGAUUGGUGUCAGCAGGGUGAGGUGGGGGAGUGUGGUGGGCAGUGGAUGUCCGAGGGCAUCCCCAGGAGCUUCUGGGUGCCCACGCAGCUGGGGAUCGUCCCAGAAAGAUGGUCCGCAGCGUUUCCCGCAGGCUCUCCUGCUCCCGGUCCGUGUCCCGCAGGAACUGCAAGAAUUGACACCCCCAAAAACUGGCCUCCGCCACGGUGAACUUCGGCAUGGUUGAGCCGAGCCGAGCCGAGCCGAGCCGAGCCGAGCCGAGCCGAGAUGGUGCCGAGUCGAGGAGUGCCAGAACGAUGGCUAUAAGAAAAUAGAAGUAUCUCUAACGGUAAUUUGACUUGUGUUUGAAAUCUGAGUACUUACUGUGCUGCUCCUUCCCUGAGAAGAUUGUCAUUGUUAAGCAAUAACCGGACAUCUGGAAAAGAAAGGGUUCAGGUUGGUACACAGCAAUUCUAAAAAUUGAGCUCUUAAACUGUUUGAAAACUUUCACUAUUUAAAGAGCUGUAAUUAGGACGGAUUGGUGCCACAAUAUUGUCAAAUUUCACUGUCAGAAAUUUGGGUGGUGAUGAAGAGAGCCUCGCAGUUUGGAGAGACCCUGCAGCUCAAUAUCCUCAGUGGACUUUGCUCAGAGUCUGCCCCAAAAGACUGAAAGAUUUCUGACAGGACACUGUGUGCUUUCCUAAGCAAGAAAGGAUUAACAACUGUUAGCACAGCACGGAGCAGCCCCUGCUGAACCUCUCUCAGAUCCUCCCUUAAGUUUAUCCUUCUCUGCCUGUGUGAGGCAUGGAGUUAGUUGAAAUGGAGUGUUCUAAAGGCCAUAUCAAUUUUCCUCUGGAAGACUUAUUUCAAACAUCACCUAAAAUACCGACUAAUGGUUGAAUUGCAUCUCUAAAGCUCUGCUUGUUUCAUAAAUGAUGUCACUGAAAUUAAGCUGAAAUUGCAGUUUAAGCAAAAAAUGAAAGCAACCCCUGGACCUGUGGGAUCCUUGAAGAUCCAUGAGCCUGAACAACUCCUCCAGAACGUUAAGAAACAAAGCAAGCACUAAAUGUAACACUUUUUAGAGGUAAGGAAGAGUAACAGUGUAUUUUUAAACUACUGUGUAUAGACAGCAGCGCUUAACCUGGCAGAGAACUUGCAGCCUGUAACUUUCCCACAUUCCUACACAAGAGGAACAAAUUGCUCAUUUCCCCCUUUCCUAAAAUAAUUAUGGCUCUAUUUGCUCCUACUUAGUCCUUUCCAUCCAGUAUAAUUUGUAGGAUCUACAUCGAAGCUCCUGUCAGCAGCUGGGGUGAGCAGCAAACGACACGCUCAGAGCGUUUGGGAAGUGAAGAGGUUGCAAAGCACCUUCUAGACACGCUGGUUACUUUGCUGAUUUGGGAAAAACAGCGCUGAAAAUACAUUUUCGCAAAAUCAUUUUGGUUGGGAAAGACCUUCAAGACCACCAAGUGAUGACUGAUCACCACCUGUGACUGACUCCCACCUUGUCUACAACACCAGAGCACGUCCAGCCCUUCCUUGACCAUGCCCGGGGAUGGGGACUCCACCAAUGCAAUGUCUAAUCGCCCUUUCUGUUAAGAAACUCCUCCUGACGUCCAACCUAAACCUCCCCUGGUUUAGGUUGAGGCCAUGUCCACUUUCAUGCACAAUGACCGGCCGAGACGCCUCAGCUGCACUGAGGCAACGAGGAAAUCGGAAGGCAACGAGGAAAUCGGAAGGCAACGAGGAAAUCGGAAGGCAAAAUGCUGCUCUGUUGAGGAACAUGCCUAAGGAAAUGCUGCUCUGCUCCUUCAGCCGGGCGGCGGCGGCCCGGUGGUUUCGGGGACCCGCCCGCCCUGAGGCACUCGCAGACCAGCACCAGGCGAGCUCGCCCGCACCUCCCCACCCACUGCCUGUCCGGGGGCAGCGGCACCGGCCCUCAGCGGAGGGGCGCCCACCCCGUU